rnacentral:rRNA from 1 species
AACGAACGCUGGCGGCAUGCCUAACACAUGCAAGUCGAACGGGAUCCGAGCUUCGGUUCGGUGAGAGUGGCGGACGGGUGAGUAACGCGUGGGAACCUGCCCAGUGGUGGGGGAUAACUGCGGGAAACUGCAGCUAAUACCGCAUGAGCCCGAGAGGGGAAAGAUUUAUCGCCAUUGGAGGGGCCCGCGUUCGAUUAGGUAGUUGGUGAGGUAACGGCUCACCAAGCCUUCGAUCGAUAGCUGGUCUGAGAGGAUGAUCAGCCACACUGGGACUGAGAUACGGCCCAGACUCCUACGGGAGGCAGCAGUGGGGGAAUAUUGGACAAUGGGGGGCAACCCUGAUCCAGCAAUGCCGCGUGAGUGAUGAAGGCCUCGGUU